rnacentral:rRNA from 1 species
UACGGGGGGAGCAAGCGUUGUUCGGAUUUACUGGGCGUAAAGGGCGCGUAGGCGGUCAGCACAAGUCAGUUGUGAAAUCUCCGGGCUUAACUCGGAAAGGUCAACUGAUACUGUGCGACUAGAGUGCGGAAGGGGCAACUGGAAUUCACGGUGUAGCAGUGAAAUGCGUAGAUAUCGUGAGGAAUACCAGAGGCGAAGGCGGCUCCCUGGACAAUUGCUGACGCUCAGGCACGAAAGCGUGGGGAGCAAAAGGG